rnacentral:rRNA from 1 species
UACGGAGGGUGCAAGCAUUAAUCGGAAUUAUUGGGCGUACAGGGCGCGUAGGCGGUUAUGAAAGUCAGAUGUGACAUCCCGAAGCUCAACUUCGGAACUGCAUUUGAAACUCCAUAGCUAGAGGAUAGGCGGAGAAAGCGGAAUUCCACAAGUAGCGGUGAAAUGCGUAGAUAUGUGGAAGAACACCAGUGGCGAAGGCGGCUUUCUAGCUUAUACCUGACGCUGAUGCGCGAAAGCAAGGGGAUCAAACAGG